AAUAAGAAAGUACGAUUUGUUGGA
rnacentral:piRNA from 1 species